AUCACGCAGCCAUGUGGUGAGCACAAAGCGAACUAUUCUUUCGCCUUUUACUAAAGAAUACCGUGUGCUCUCCACGCUAAGUGGCAUACGCCUAUUUUUGGAGGGUCCUGCUUUCGAGUGGGCCCAACAAUUGUUUAGUUGAAAAUUUGGAAUUAUUUAUACGUUAGAGCUUGUAAGUCAGAUGUUUACUAAGGGCAAU
rnacentral:sRNA from 1 species